rnacentral:misc_RNA from 1 species
GUGAGUCAUCGAAUCUUUGAACGCAUAUUGCGCUCGAGACUCCGGUCAAGAGCAUGUCUGGCUCAGCGUCGUUUCACCCACUCGCCACCUUUACCCUCCUUUCGAAGAGCGGUCUAGGAAGGCGGACCUGGCUUUUCCCGUGACUCUUACGAUUAACGGGGUCAGCUGAAGAACAGAGGCUUGAGCAUGGCGCCGCACAAUGGCAGCCGGCUUGGUAGGUGGCUCAUGCUACAUGCCGCCGGAGGCCGCAGCGCCGUGCUGUUAAGGCCCGCAGGAACCGGCUUAACCGUCGGCACUCAU